CGGCCGGAGCUAACGCGUGCAGUGGCCGCCGGCAGAGCACCUGGGCCGAGUCUGUGUGCCGAUCUCCGGGCUCUUGGUGUUUUGUCCCCUUAGCUAUAAUCUUUCUGCCGGGACCCCGACCUCGUGCGGAGCCCAUGUACGUCCCAGGCUUCGGGGGCUCCCGGGGUCUUCACUGCGAUGGCGCCUGCCCCACGCCCGAGUGGCCGCGGGGACGGGGGGGAGGGGUGGUGCCGACCGCAGCCCUCCCCCCCACCCUGUUGGCGCGGCUCCAACCUCUUCUGGUUUAAGUUGCGUUUUUGUGAGACGAAGCCUGUCAUCAUGAAGAUACAUAGAAGUUAUCAUGAUAAAUACUUGGCAUAGAGGAUUGCUGGGAACCACAUAGCACACAACUGCAUAUGAGGUAACUGCUGGUGAAUGAUCCAAGAAUUUAGCUGUGAGUUUGAAAAACAGUCAUUAUCUCAGGUACUACAUGCAACAUUUUGGAAGGGAAAACUGAAGACAACGUGAAACAAAAGAUAAAAAUGUUUGAUUAUCACCUUGGAAUGUGUAAAUGUAUAAAUUAUUUUUAUAACAAAAAUACAUAAUAUGAAUUUUUUGAUACUAUGAAAUAAAAUUUUCUCUGAAGUGCA